rnacentral:rRNA from 1 species
UACGAAGGUCCCAAGCGUUAUCCGGAUUUAUUGGGUUUAAAGGGUGCGUAGGCGGGUUAUUAAGUCAGUGGUGAAAGCUCCAUGCCUAACAUGGAAAUUGCCAUUGAUACUGAUGAUCUUGAGUACAUUUGAAGUGGGCGGAAUGUGUCAUGUAGCGGUGAAAUGCUUAGAUAUGACACAGAACACCGAUUGCGUAGGCAGCUCACUAAACUGUAACUGACGCUGAGGCACGAAAGCGUGGGGAGCAAACAGG